GGUCAGACCAUAGAUAAUAUAGAAGACAGCGCGCUAGCGUAUCGAGUAUUCUAUGUAUCUAUGGUCGGCGUGUCUGGUAGCAUCUCUGGCUGCUGUUGAUCUUGUUUUCGGAGUAAAACACGAUGUUCAGAGGGAGAUGAUGCCACAUCUGGUCCAGCUGAUGGAAGGUCUUGAAGUUCACUGACUGACCUCGACUGAAGAUGGUCGUCUCACUGGAUUUAAGGUUCAGAUGCUCAGUAACAAACUCCACCAAUGAGCCAACAGGGAAGCUUUAGGUUUAUUAAAUGUUGCUAUGAAGGUAUCGCUGUUUUUCUUUGUGAAUGCAAUGUGUUCCAACUGAAACUUGAAUUAGAACUUGGAAGUAAAUCCUUCCAUCUGAAAGGAUCUAGUUGCAUUAAUAACCUCAACACAUUCUAAUUUUUAUUCCAGUCUUGGUUGGAAAUAGAAUCUCUGUAUUGAUUCAGGUAAAAACUGAACUUCACAGCAUGUUGGAGCAAAACAACCAGAUGAAAACUGUGAUGGUGUUGGAUUGUCAGACCGUAAUGUUGCAGCUCAAAGCAGCUUUUCUAUCUCAGUUCAUUCUGACAUUUAGCUAUGAAUCAACACAGCAGAUGGUGAUCCAUGCUGUGGAAGUCUCACAUCUCCUGAUUUAAUGGAGCUACUUUGCACUUUUUACAGUUUAUUCACCAACACUUUAUUUAAUAAAAGUCCCAUCUAGUUUUUAUGAGGAAUGUGAUGUUUUAAUUUCUCUGUGAAUAACUGCAGUCUAAUGCAACAGCUGGAGUUGUAACAUCUGUCCUGAUAUUGAUCAUGAAGUAUUGAUCAGAAUACUUAUGGUCAGCAGUCAUCCCUGAAGUUUUACAUUAAAAUCUUUACUUGUGUUGUGAACUUUGGUAAGAAGCAGAAACGUUAGCGUUGCCAUGGAUACACGAGUGUUAAAUUCUGUCCAUGUUUCCAUUUUGGGAAAUUCAGUCCAGCAGAUGAGUUUGUUUUUACUGCCAGCUACCAUUCAGUCAGAGAUAUUAAGAAUAAAUAAAUGUGCAUAAUGUGGAAAUGAACAGAUUUUAUUUUUAUUUAUUCCUACAGCUGCUGCAAGAAAAGUUCCACACUGUGGAGGAAUUUAGUCUCAUAAUCACGGACAAUAAAUAUUAUCUGAAUGUCGGGUUAUUGUUGUUUAUCAGCACAAUACAAAAAGAUUAAUGUUAGAAAUAUUCCAGUUAAGACUCUAGAAUAUCAGGAUUUAUAUAAAUUUACCUCAAUAAUAUGAAUGUUCAGGUUAAGAUUGUGCAGUGAUAUUUAUUAUGUAAGUUUAGCUAAUUAAAGGUUAUGACUCUGCACUAUAAUAUUAUUAUUUAAAUUGACAUCAUUAUUAUAUUAUUUUGGGUCAGACCCCACAGUAUUGAGAGUAAGAAAUCAAAUAUUCUAUAAAAUGUAAAUACACUGAACCCAUUUGGAUAUAUUUAAGUGAGACUCUACAAUAUUAUUUGACACAAAUCUAUCUAAAUCAAAAUUUUAAUCAUUUUUACUCCCAACAUUUACUGGACUGAUUUAAAUAUUAGUUUUUAUGUUAGAUUUCUUAAGUAAUUUAAUGAGUUAUCAGCAAAUAUCAAGUGUUCAUUUGAUGAACUUCAUUUCCUAAAACAUCCAGAAUUGGAGCUCAUAUCUUUGGCAGCUGUAAAGUUUCUGCUCCUUCAAAGUUCACAACACAAUGAAUGAAUUCCUAAAACACUCUCUGCUGCAGAGCGUUUGUGAUGCUGAAGCAGUGAUCAGUUUUUCUGUUUCUUCUCUGGAGAUGCACAAUGAGGGACGUCUGCAGAGACUGAGAAAGAGUCUCACCACAUCCUGACAUGAGGAAAAAGACUUUAUUGAAGACUACAAUGAGAAAAACUAUCAGACAGCAGAUGGCAUGCAUUCAAGCUGAGCUCUGAGCAUUUGAUCUGGAACAGGAAUUCAAUAACGGCAGCAUGAGCUUCAUUUCAGUCUGUAGCUGCUGAAUUCAUGGAUGAAUCAUCUGGCACUAGAGAGGAAGACCAUCAAACAUCCACGUCAGCUGAUGGAGGUCCAAGAGUCUCACCGAACAAACAACCUACAGAGUGAAGACCUCUAACCUGAUUGGAUGGCCUCCUAUUCAGCUACAUUUUAGGCUGUUAGAUUGUUCCAGAUAAGACAAGUACAAGAUUCUUCAGAGCCGUUCUACCACGAGCCUGACAGGAAGAACUCCAACAGCUACUGAAUGGUCCUGUGGUCCCCUCAAGGCUACAGGAGGAGCCCUAUGAGGACGAGCCGGUCCACCUGAUGGCGGCCAGUCGCUGCGGUUCAAAGCCAACACCGACUACGUGGACUUCUACUGGACCACACGGAGGCCUUCAAACCGGACCAACAAGUUCAGCGACUCCCCGACUCGUGGGUCUGAGGACGUCACCGAGCCUCGGUCCCAGCCGGCCUCCUGUCUGUGGAUGUUUGAGUGCUGAGAGGUUUGUGGAUGCAUGUGAACGUGUCUGUGUUGAAACAGCAGCUUUGGACUCAGUAACGCUGGUAAAAACCAAGAGCUCCUUUAUUUGUGAAUUCCACUAAAAAACUGAUGAAAAUAAGUUUGCCAGGGUUCUGACUGAUAGCAGAUUAUUAAAUAAUGAAAAUAAUAGUUUAAAUAUUCCUUUAAACAAUCCUUUUAGGUCUACAUUUCCUUUACACUGACUUCUUGGUAUAUGUACAAGUAUUUUGGGUGGAAUAUACCAUUAAGCCUAAUGUUCAAGGGUUCUUCUGGGAAUAUACCAUUAAACCAACCUUGUAGGUAAAUGUUCCAGGAUGUUGGGUAGAAUAUACCAUCAGAUCAACCUUUUAGGUCUACAUUGGAAGAUUUUAGAGUAGAAUAUUACUCCAAACCAUCCUUUAGGUCUACAUUUAAGGUGGAAUACUCCUUUACACCAAGAUUUUUUUGGUCUACAUUUAAGGAUUUUAGGUGGAAUAUUCCUUUGAGCGAACUUUUCAAGUUUAUGUUCAAGGAUGUUGGGUGGAAUAUACCAUCAGACCAACCUCCAAGGUCUACAGUAGUGAAUUUUAGGUGGAAUAUACCAUUAAGCUCACCUUUUAGGUGUACAUUGGAGGAUUUUAGGUGGAAUGUUCUUCCAAACCAUCUUUUAGUCUACAUUUAAGGAUGUUGAGGAUGGUAUAUUCUUCUGAACAAACUUCUCAGGUCUACAUUUCAGGUGGAAUAUUCCUCCAUACUAACUUUUUUGGUCUACACUGAAGGAUUUUUCUAAACCACCCUUUCAGGUCUAUAGUUGAGGUUUUAGGUGGAAUAUUCCUUUUAACCAGCCCCUCAGGUCUCUUUGAGGAUUUUGGAUGGAAUACUCGGUUAAACCAACAUUUUAGGUGCAUGUCCAAGGAUUUUUGGUGGAAUGUUCCUUUAAGGUGGAUGUUUGAGGACCUUGUAGGUGGAAUACUUCCUGAAACCUACCUUUUAGGUCAACAUUCAAAGAUUUAAGGUGGAAUAUUCCUUUAAACCAACGUAAAUUUCAUGUUUUGAUCAUUAUCAAGAGAGAAACCUCAAUCCAGACUCCUCAUAAUGAUGUUUGAGAUUUAUGCUGCUGUUAUUUGUUUAGUCCAGACUAAAUGACAGAAAUCCACAACUGUAAUUUUAUUUCAGGACUCGGUUAUUAAAUGUCAAAACAAUCCAUGUGACUCUAAAAACUCAACGGCUUUACAAACUCUGAGAUUAAACUCUCCACAAGGAUCCAAAAUAAGUUGGACUUCUACAUGAGAGCUUUAAUUAUUCUUCAUCUACUUUCUGAAAAGUUUGGUCAAUAAAAAAGACAAAAACUAAUAUUUUCAGCUGAACUAAAGACAGACGUUGUGAUUUUUCUGCUCACAUAUUGUGUUGUUGUAAACUUACUCUUUCAAAUAAAUAGCCGCCUAACCCCCUGGAAACCAGCAUUUGUCCUGUUUUUGUGUUGCUCCUCUGCGACCCUAGACAGCCGGGUCGUAAUGUUGUUUGAGCAACACACCAUACUAUGACGUUUUUACAAUGAUGGUUCUACUAUGGAACCAGUUUGACAUGUUCAGGCGUUCUUUGUGUGAAAACUCAGAGAUUUCAGGUAUCAGAAGGUGGUUUUCAACUUUCUGCUUCAAUUUUAAACUAAAUUUACUUGACUAACCCAGCCCUCUGGACUCCCAGUAAGCUGUGUUCCUAUUGGCUGUCCAGGUGGCUGCUUGGUGUUAUCAGGAACACCUGAGCAGCUCAGUGUCUUCCUGCUUUGUUUUUCUGCAGCCAAACAUUUCCUCUGCUUCUCUUCACCACCGAACCGGGUUUGCCUCUGUUGCUUUAGUUUGUUCUUUAGACGUUGGCUUGCAGCUUCCAGCAGUAAAAUCGUCUUUAAUGUGUUUCUUGGUGUGUUUUAGGGCUUUGUACUGGAUAGUUGUCUUGGUAAAUGAGGUUCUUUAGCCACAGUUAGCACAUGGUGCUAAUGUGUGCAGUGAUUAGUGGAUUUGGUACAGCUGAGUUGUGUUUUUAUCUUGGCUGUAGUGAGUCUUUAGAAGUUUUUGGUCAGACACAUUCUGUAUUCUUGUGAACCAACGUUGGUUGUCCAGAAGGUAGGAGUUCCUGUCCCGAUUCUCUGUUCUCAGAGGUUCUCUGUUAGGCUGCAGGAGACUUUAGCGUUUGGGUUGUGCUAGUUGGGUUUUUGUACAGUUUCAUUUGGACGACUAUCUUGAGGCCCAUCCAUGUGGUUUAGUGAGGUUUUCUGCAACAGUUCUACAAAGCAACCUGCAGCAGAAGAGACUUUGAGAGUUUUUAGGAAGUUCUGGAGACCAGACUUUAGAGUAGCAGAAACAUUUGUCAGUAGUUUGAGCAGGAGAAUGUCAGCUUCAGAGUAGAAAUGAGAUGGAAACCUUCUUGACACGUGUGGUGAGGUCCUGUACCAAGAGUUUGAGCAGGUUGUGAAGAGUCUGUAGUUCUUUGGUCUGAAAGCACAAGAAGAGUCGACUCAUUAAAGGAGAAAACAGGAGAUAUUGUUGAUUCUUCUGUCGCUCUGCAGUUUCCUUAGACUGAAUAUCAAGUUUAUAUUUUAAAUGAUUUGCCAUGUGAGCCCAAGAAGACUUCAAUAAACUCCCUCCAUCCCCUGGACACAACAGAUUUUAUUACGAUGUUAAAUCUUUUUUUUUUUUUUAAAUAUAUUUUUGAGUUUUAAUCAUAGUUUUACCAUAGUUUUUUUUCUCUUUGCUUGUUUAGUUUUGUCAUCUGUGUGAAAGGUGCUAAAC